UUAGGGUCCAUUUUGGGGCCAUUUAGGACCAUUUUGGGGCCAUUUGGGGUCAUUUAGGGCCAUUUGGGGCCAUUUAGGGUCAUUUAGGGGUCAUUUUAGGGCCAUUUAGGGUCAUUUAGGGUCCUUUUAGGGUCGUUUUUGGGGUCGUUUUUGGGGUCCCCUCACCAGGAAUGGGGCGGCGCAGUGCCUUUGGGUUCAUUUAGGGUCCAUUUUGUCCCCAUUUUGGUCCAUUUAGGGUCCCUUUUGGGGCCAUUUGGGGCCAUUUAGGGCCAUUUAGGGUCAUUUAGGGUCCUUUUAGGGUCGUUUUUGGGGUCCCCUCACCAGGAAUGGGGCGGCGCAGUGCCUUUGGGUUCAUUUAGGGUCCAUUUUGUCCCCAUUUGGGUCCAUUUAGGGACCAUUUUGGGGCCAUUUAGGGCCAUUUAGGGUCAUUUAGGGGCCAUUUAGGGUCAUUUAGGGUCCUUUUAGGGUCGUUUUUGGGGUCGUUUUUGGGGUCCC
ensembl:lncRNA